UACGUAGGGUGCAAGCGUUGUCCGGAAUUAUUGGGCGUAAAGAGCUCGUAGGCGGUUUGUUGCGUCGGCUGUGAAAUCCCGAGGCUCGACCUCGGGUCUGCAGUCGAUACGAGCAAACUAGAGUGUUGCAGGGGAGAUCGGAAUUCCUGGUGUAGCGGUGAAAUGCGCAGAUAUCAGGAGGAACACCGGUGGCGAAGGCGGAUCUCUGGGCCUUACCUGACGCUCAGGCGCGAAGCUAGGGGAGCGAACAGG
rnacentral:rRNA from 1 species